UACGAAGGGUGCAAGCGUUACUCGGAAUUACUGGGCGUAAAGCGUGCGUAGGUGGUUUGUUAAGUCUGAUGUGAAAGCCCUGGGCUCAACCUGGGAAUUGCAUUGGAUACUGGCAGGCUAGAGUGCGGUAGAGGGUAGUGGAAUUCCCGGUGUAGCAGUGAAAUGCGUAGAGAUCGGGAGGAACAUCCGUGGCGAAGGCGACUACCUGGACAGGCACUGACACUCAACUACGAAAGCGUGGAGAGCAAACAGG
rnacentral:rRNA from 1 species